rnacentral:rRNA from 1 species
AGCGUAGACGGAUGGACAAGUCUGAUGUGAAAGGCUGGGGCUCAACCCCGGGACUGCAUUGGAAACUGCCCGUCUUGAGUGCCGGAGAGGUAAGCGGAAUUCCUAGUGUAGCGGUGAAAUGCGUAGAUAUUAGGAGGAACACCAGUGGCGAAGGCGGCUUACUGGACUGUAACUGACGUUGAGGCUCGAAAGCGUGGGGAGCAAACA